rnacentral:rRNA from 1 species
GCAGUUGGCGGCAGGCCCUAACACAUGCAAGUCGAGCGGCAGCGGAAGUAGCUUGCUACUUUGCCGGCGAGCGGCGGACGGGUGAGUAAUGUCUGGGAAACUGCCUGAUGGAGGGGGAUAACUACUGGAAACGGUAGCUAAUACCGCAUAACGUCGCAAGACCAAAGAGGGGGACCUUCGGGCCUCUUGCCAUCAGAUGUGCCCAGAUGGGAUUAGCUAGUAGGUGGGGUAACGGCUCACCUAGGCGACGAUCCCUAGCUGGUCUGAGAGGAUGACCAGCCACACUGGAACUGAGACACGGUCCAGACUCCUACGGGAGGCAGCAGUGGGGAAUAUUGCACAAUGGGCGCAAGCCUGAUGCAGCCAUGCCGCGUGUAUGAAGAAGGCCUUCGGGUUGUAAAGUACUUUCAGCGGGGAGGAAGGUGUUGAGGUUAAUAACCUCAGCAAUUGACGUUACCCGCAGAAGAAGCACCGGCUAACUCCGUGCCAGCAGCCGCGGUAAUACGGAGGGUGCAAGCGUUAAUCGGAAUUACUGGGCGUAAAGCGCACGCAGGCGGUCUGUCAAGUCAGAUGUGAAAUCCCCGGGCUCAACCUGGGAACUGCAUUCGAAACUGGCAGGCUAGAGUCUUGUAGAGGGGGGUAGAAUUCCAGGUGUAGCGGUGAAAUGCGUAGAGAUCUGGAGGAAUACCGGUGGCGAAGGCGGCCCCCUGGACAAAGACUGACGCUCAGGUGCGAAAGCGUGGGGAGCAAACAGGAUUAGAUACCCUGGUAGUCCACGCCGUAAACGAUGUCGACUUGGAGGUUGUGCCCUUGAGGCGUGGCUUCCGGAGCUAACGCGUUAAGUCGACCGCCUGGGGAGUACGGCCGCAGGUUAAAACUCAAAUGAAUUGACGGGGGCCCGCACAAGCGGUGGAGCAUGUGGUUUAAUUCGAUGCACGCGAAGAACCUUACCUACUCUUGACAUCCAGAGAACUUUCCAGAGAUGGAUUGGUGUCUUCGAGAACUCUGAGACAGGUGCUGCAUGGCUGUCGUCAGCUCGUGUGUGACUGUAGGGUAAGUCCCGCACGAGCGCACUCUUUAUCUUUGGUGCCAGCGGUCAGCCGGACUCAAGGAACUGCAGUGAUACCUGGUAGAGGUGGGAUGACUCAGGUCUAUCAUGGCCUUACAGGAAUGCUACACACGUCUCACAUGGUCCGAAUACAAAGGGGAAU